AUUGAACGCUGGCGGCAUGCCUUACACAUGCAAGUCGAGCGGCAGCGCGGGGGCAACCCUGGCGGCGAGCGGCGGACGGGUGAGUAAUACAUCGGAACGUGUCCUUUCGUGGGGGAUAACCAGUCGAAAGACUGGCUAAUACCGCAUGAGAUCUCACGAUGAAAGCGAGGGACCGCAAGGCCUCGCGCGAUUGGAGCGGCCGAUGUCGGAUUAGCUAGUGGCGGGGUAAAAGCCCACCAAGGCUACGAUCCGUAGCUGGUUUGAGAGAACGACCAGCCACACUGGGACUGAGACACGGCCCAGACUCCUACGGGAGGCAGCAGUGGGGAAUUUUGGACAAUGGGGGCAACCCUGAUCCAGCCAUGCCGCGUGUGUGAAGAAGGCCUGGUGUAA
rnacentral:rRNA from 1 species